rnacentral:rRNA from 1 species
AGUGAACGCUGGCGGUAGGCCUAACACAUGCAAGUCGAACGGCAGCACAGUAAGAGCUUGCUCUUACGGGUGGCGAGUGGCGGACGGGUGAGGAAUACAUCGGAAUCUACUUUUUCGUGGGGGAUAACGUAGGGAAACUUACGCUAAUACCGCAUACGACCUACGGGUGAAAGCAGGGGAUCUUCGGACCUUGCGCGAUUGAAUGAGCCGAUGUCGGAUUAGCUAGUUGGCGGGGUAAAGGCCCACCAAGGCGACGAUCCGUAGCUGGUCUGAGAGGAUGAUCGCCCAAAAGGAAAGUGAGACACGGUCCAGCCCCCUACGGGAGGGAGGAGGGGGGAAAUUGGGAAAAGGGGGGAAAGCCUGAUCCAGCCAUACGGGGGGGGGGAAGAAGGCCUUCGGGUUGUAAAGCCCUUUUGUGGGGAAAAAAAAGCAGCAGGUUAAUCCCCCGUUUUUCGGACGGAACCAAAAAAAAAAGCACCGGCUAAUUUCGG